GAGAAUUUUAGAAAAGGGGAAGAAGAAAUAGUGUGAUUUGGCAAAUCGAGUCAACCGACCAAAAUCCGGACCAGACCUUCCUCUUCUAUCUACUUAUUUAAGUCUUGUUCUGUCUUGAUCUACAGCAUGGAAACCCUAACCGCCGCACAGGGCGGAGACGACGCCAACAUCGGCGCGGCUAUUCUUAUGCGCUUCACCGACCCCAACAACGAACUCGACCUCGAAAUCCGCAAACUCAUCGUCGUCUUGUCCGGGCCCUUCCGCGGCCAAAAUGCACCUCCUCCGACGCCGGUGACCUAUUUGGGCGCCACGUGCUCCUCUCUCGACGUCGCUUCCGGUCAGAUGCUCGACGCCCACCUCACAAUUCUGUCCAUAGUCAUCCCAAAAGUCCCUGCUGCGUUUCUGAUCACCAAUCUCCGGCCGGUGUUUGAUUCCGUCGCACGGCCUCUCCGGUCUUCGUCUCCGAUUGACCAGAGCACCGGCUGCUUAGUAGUGAAAUGCAUUGCUCAGUUGUUCAUCACCGUCGCAAACGUCGUCAGCUGGUCAGAUGUUUCGGAACUUUACAGCUUCUUCCUCGACUUGGCUAACUUUGACGGCUUCCGGGUGAGAGAGCAAUUACAUGCGUGUCUUGCUGAUGUCUUGCAAAGUUUUCAAGGAACACCACUACUUUACCUGGCAACCAAACAGAUUACUGACUUGUUGAAUAAGUAUCCUCUGCUAGUGAACUAUGAUGAAAAUACUAGUGAAUCUGUUCCUUCCCAAGAAGAGAAGGCCUUGUUUACUCUGGAAGUUGUAAAUGUAUCUCUUUCCCUUUUGUCAACUGAGGAUAGAACUGCCGUGCUAGUCUACUAUAAGAGUCUCUUGGAACUAAACAAAUUCGAUGUUACAUCAAGGAUUUCUGAUGGUUUGUAUAGACUUUGUCUCGACCCAUCUGCAGACCAUUCUCCUCAACUGUUGCUUGAUAUAGUACUCUCCUUAUGUCUUUUUGUCACCCAACAUAAGAUCAUCCCGAGAACUAUAGCGAGUUUUCUCAGUGCUGGAGUGACGAAAGUUUACUCCUAUGAUCGGAAAAUGUGUGAAGUUAACCUCCCUAUUGUGUUUGAUGCACUCAAAGUUAUAUUGACAAGCCGUGGCGCAAGGAAGAAUCAUGAUAUAGUGCCUGCAUUUAAGUGUCUGAUUAAUACUUGUGUUGAUGAAAGCUUAAUCAAAGAGGGUGUUCACUAUGUGGUGAUAAAUGCAAGUGUGGGUGAUGGAAUCAAGUCGGAGCCAACAGUAAUUGAAAACUUGUGUGCUACUAUUCAAAGUCUACUCGGCUAUCAUCGAUUUCAUAAGGAUCAAACCGAAUCCCAGCAAUCGAAUCGCUUUUGUGAGACACAAGAAAGAUUUCACAACUAUAAAAUCUGGUGCCGGGCAUUUGAAAUUUUUUCAACAAUGAUCGAUAAAUUAGGACCAUACUCUUCUUAUUUGAUGAGGGGUACACUGAAGACCUUGGCAGACAUGCAUUUGUUACCACACAAAGAAUUCCCUUUCAAGGAAAAGGUUGAGCUUCUUCUGAAAAAGCUUGUUCAGAUAUGCGGGUUUGAUGCUGUAAUAGCUGUUAUGCCUCAAGAACACAAGAAACUGCUUGUAGAGAUCAAUGAAAUGGUUUCUAGACCUGUUGAAGUAAUACCUCAAGUUCUGGAAGCAACUACAGUCAGGUAUCACCUUUCUGACAACAUUUUGACUCCUGCAAGAUUUCGGAGCUUAUGAUCAAUCUGUCCACUGGUUCUGUUUCUUACUUGUUUUAGUAUUAUUAUCUAAAGAGUACAGCAUGAAAAAAAAAGUAGGAAGCUCUUGCCCCUUGUGUCUUCAUAUUGUGGUCCUAUUUGUGUGAAGCUGUUUUAAUCUGCUUCUUGGUUUGACCUCCUUGAGCGUACUCUACCAUAUUUUGCUCAAGAGUAGGAUCUAAGCAUAAGCGGGGAAAGAGUAUGCAAGUUUGAUGAGGAUAAAGCUAGGUGUAAAGCUAAGAGGGAAAUGACAAAAAGGAUGUCAGAUGCAGCUGGGAUGGCAAAGAAGAUGAGGCUGCAAGUUUAAUAGUGUUAUUCAGUUAUUAUCUAUAUAUUGUUCUAGGAGGGUGGAAGCUAAACCAUCAUCUUAUCUUCAUUAUGAGAGAUGCUGGCAAUCAAAUCAGUUAAUUACUUAAUUAUGUGACUUGAAGUCGUACCCCUUUUUUUUAUUAAUGUAUUUGGUUGAAGCAAUUAACGAUUACAACCACCCUGGGAUUCAGGCUAGGGGCAAAACCAUGGAUUAUUGUAUU